UACGGAGGGUGCAAGCGUUAAUCGGAAUUACUGGGCGUAAAGCGCACGCAGGCGGUCUGUCAAGUCGGAUGUGAAAUCCCCGGGCUUAACCUGGGAACUGCAUUCGAAACUGGCAGGCUAGAGUCUUUUAGAGGGGGGUAGAAUUCCAGGUGUAGCUGUGAAAUGCGUAGAGAUCUGUAGGAAUACCGUUGGCGAAGGCGGCCCCCUGGACAAAGACUGACGCUCACGUGCGAAAGCGUGGGGUGCAACCA
rnacentral:rRNA from 1 species